rnacentral:piRNA from 1 species
UCACCCAGGCUAGAGUGCAGUGGUGCA